AAAUAUGAAUGAAUGCAUCUUUUAAAAAAAAAUCUAGAUACAUGUAAUAUUAUGACAACAAUUUAUGACUCGAGGGAGUAGUUCCAAUUUGGACCACCAAUUGACGGCUCGUUUGAGAAUUUCGAUCUGUUUUGAAUCUGUGAUUUUUAAUCUGAUGAAAUACACUUUAUUUUCACUGCGGAAUUUCUGUUUUUUUUAGGAGAUGCGGAAUUUCUGUUAGCGGUUAGGAAGAGAGCGUCACAAGAAAGGCCGGCAGUAACGGGCAGCCUGUGUCACCGCUUCUUCUGUUCCCUUCGUCUCGGAUUUUUUUUUUAAGGGAAACUUCGUCUCAGAUUGAGGCAGUGUGUG
rnacentral:lncRNA from 1 species